rnacentral:tRNA from 1 species
GGUGGCUAAGUGUGGUAGAGUGCUUGCCUUGCAUGCAUGAGGCCCUGGGUUCGAUUCCUCAGCACCA